GCCGGGCGUGGUGGCGCAUGCCUGUAAUCCCAGCAGCUGCGGAGGCAGCCUCAGCCAU
rnacentral:sRNA from 1 species